rnacentral:tRNA from 1 species
GCGCGGAUGGCGAAGUGGUUAACGCUCUGGGUUGUGGCUCCAGCAUUCGCGGGUUCGAUUCCCGUUCCGCGCCCCA